rnacentral:lncRNA from 1 species
CUCAUUGUUUUUGUAAGAGAAAAUAUUCUAUUUCAUUCUUGAACUGUACUCAAAACGGCUGAAACACACCUCAACUUAACGAGGGUUCUAUUACCUCCGAACUAAUUAAAAGUGUAAUUUUGAUACCCUUAGUGCCUAUGUGGCACAUACGUGACACAACAUACUGAAGGGUCUAACUAGGCACACGUGUGUGCCAUGUAUAUGCCACGUAGGCACUAAGGAUGUUAAAAUUAUACUUUUAAUUAGUUCAGGGAAUAACAGGACCCCCAUUAAGUUAAGGUGUUCUCAGCUAUUUUGAGUAUACUUCAAGGGGGAAAUAGGGUAUUUUCUCUUUUUGUAAAGCAGAAGGGAAAAAAAAGAUUUCCAAGCAGAUAAUUGAAGNN